UUGGAAGUAAAAGUCGUAACAAGGUCUCCGUUGGUGAACCAGCGGAGGGAUCAUUAACGAGUUUAUCAACUCCCAAACCCUAUGUGAACCUUACCACUUGUUGCUUCGGCGGAGUCGCGCCGGUGCCGCCCAGGCGGCCCGGGAUCACGCGCCCGCCGGAGACCAAAAACUCUUGAUUUUGCGAAAGCAGUAUUCUUCUGAGUGGCCGAAAGGCAAAAAACAAAUGAAUCAAAACUUUCAACAACGGAUCUCUUGGUUCUGGCAUCGAUGAAGAACGCAGCGAAAUGCGAUAAGUAAUGUGAAUUGCAGAAUUCAGUGAAUCAUCGAAUCUUUGAACGCACAUUGCGCCCGCCAGCAUUCUGGCGGGCAUGCCUGUUCGAGCGUCAUUUCAACCCUCGAUCCCGGCCUUUGCGGGCCGCGGAGCGGUGUUGGGGAGCGGCGGAGACACACGUCUGCGCCGGCCCCGAAAUGAAGUGGCGGCCCCGCUGCGGCGACCUCUGCGUAGUAACUCAACCUCGCACCGGGACAGCAGCGCGGCCACGCCGUAAAACCCCCGACUUUUUUUAAGGUUGACCUCGAAU
rnacentral:rRNA from 2 species